rnacentral:miRNA from 1 species
ACCCUCAGCGGCGGAGAGGGAUUCCUCUCCGCUGUUGAGAGUAAAUACUGUCACCGGCCGAGAGGAAUCCCUCUCGGUCGAUGAGAGU